AUCGUAUUGUCUCCUUUAAUCGGUAACUGUUAGCCCAAGUGCCCGACACAAGGUGAACUUGACCUCUCACAGAAAACAAUUGUACUUGAACUCUCCCUGCUACUCUGCAGCUCUUCAUAUCUUUCUUUUAACAGGUACUUGCUUUAACCUUGCUGGUCAAGAUGACAGAUAAUUUACAUUAACGGAUUAUGCCGGAACACUCCAGGUCUAAGCUGAAAGCGCAUUAGCCCCAAAUGACUUGGGCAGCCAAGAAGAAGGACCUGAAGCAAAACAGCCAGUGCACACAUCUGGAAGGUGUAGGGUUUCCAGGAAAGCUUCAAACCACCUUGGUCCCUGUGUGGCACUCCCUGAGACUGUUCAGCCAUACGGAUUUUUUAACAAAAUCAUCUGCCUAUUCAUCCCAGUAGCUUGUUAAUGUCUGUUU
rnacentral:lncRNA from 1 species